rnacentral:rRNA from 1 species
CCUACGGGCUGUAGCAGUGGGGAAUAUUGCACAAUGGGGGAAACCCUGAUGCAGCGACGCCGCGUGAGUGAAGAAGUAUCUCGGUACGUAAAGCUCUAUCAGCAGGGAAGAAAAUGACGGUACCUGACUAAGAAGCCCCGGCUAACUACGUGCCAGCAGCCGCGGUAAUACGUAGGGGGCAAGCGUUAUCCGGAAUUACUGGGUGUAAAGGGAGCGUCGACGGUGAUGUAAGUCUGGAGUGAAAGGCGGGGGCACAACCCCCGGACUGCUCUGGAAACUAUGUGACUGGAGUGCAGGAGAGGUGAGCGGAAUUCCUAGUGUAGCGGUGAAAUGCGUAGAUAUUAGGAGGAACACCAGUGGCGAAGGCGGCUCACUGGACUGUAACUGACGUUGAGGCUCGAAAGCGUGGGGAGCAAACAGGAUUAGAGACCCUGGUAGUC